CUCAUAUCUAGUAUAACGGGACCAACGUGGUGCUCUUCAUUUAUGGAGGCUGUUGAGUCUGAAUGUUGGAUGUUGUGUAUCUCGUGUUCUCUGGGCUUUGUUGUCCUCAGUCUUUUUGCAGGAUCAGAAAACAAAACCAGGAUGACCGUAAAUGUUUCUUCUCCAAUUGGAUGAUGAUAAGACUGUGACACGGGAUGCCACCUUUAGUCUUGUGAUGAAGCAAAGCUCAGGAAGAAGUGUGAUUAAAUGGUACCCACAUGUGUGCUGCUGAGAAGGAUGUACAGGGGCACCUGCAGCCAAAUCCAAGCCUCCUCAGAGCAGAGCGGCCGUUUGUGCUCACAGAUGGUGACGGUGUGGAGAGACGGUGGUGUUUCCUCAGAAGAACUAGCAGAGUCACAAAGGGCACGAGUCCUUCUCACCACCUUGACUUGCUGACUGAUGCUCGUCUGCACUGCACAGAGGAAAUCAACUGACUGAGGAGUGUUUCUGAGUGAGGGAGAGAGGAGUCAUCAUCCAGGUAAAGUGACGUGGAUCAGUGGAUACACUUGUCUCCGCUUUAAAGGAGACACUCUUAGAGAGAGACGAUCCGAGUCAUCCUUAAAUAUGGGCAGGAUAUCAGUCUUGGACUGUCUAACCUGCCGGAGCAGCACUGAAUGAUCACCACACAUGAGCAUGUUCCUGCAACAUUCAGCAUCUGAUCUGCCAUCUGUGUGCUUCUGCUUUUGUGUCAAAUGUCAAACAGCUGGAGAGGAAACUACACCAGUGUACUGGGAUGUUUCACCAACACGUGCCAGACGCUGUUCCUUCAUGGUGACAUCACCAGAGACAGUCCCGCCCACCUCAGGACCUCUCCAUUGAUCAUGAUGAUUAUAAUAAUGACAGCGAGCGGAACUAAGACUGUAAAAAUCCACGACCAGAAUGUUUAGAUGCUUUCUAAUUAUUAAUGAAUACUGAGAGUCUCUUUCUGUGUUUUGUCUGGGUUUUUUUUGUUUUUUUUUUACCUCAUUUGUUACUAACAAAGUUCACCAAACUCACACAGUUUACAUUCUGUAUGCUUCCAUCUUUACCAGCCACACUCUUAACUGCAAUUAAGAAAAUAAUCCUUAGAAAUCUUCGUUUUUCUCUUUUGUAAUUGAUGAUAAUUCAGUGAAUAUACUGCGCUGCUUCCUUUUGUUUCAUCACACAUUGCUUUAAGUUUUUCAGUGUUCAG